GUCUGGCAAGACGACGGCACAGGUGUGGCGUUUCCCCACCAGGCGCGAGGCCCUCUGUUCCUGCUUUUUGGAGGUCAGCAGGUGGCUCUGGGAUGUGGCACAGAGAAGCCGAGGUGCCUCCUGGGGCGGUUGUUUAUCGAGCCCUCAUGAUGUGCCAGGCACCGCCUGGACGCCACAGCAAACUCUCUGCCCUCAAGGGGCCCACAUUCCCAGAUGAGACAGGAGCCGGGCAUUAACCCAACCGAGACGGCAUGGAAGAGGAGCUGACAGGGCUCAGCGUGGUGCAGUGACCCACCCAUGUCGACACAGGGAGGAGCAGGAGAGGCAAGGCCACAGUUCCAGGUGGGGAGCUACAAGAUGGGGAGCCCUCCUGCCUGGGUCCCUGAGAGACCGCUUGGAGCAGAGCAGCUGCCGUGAGAGGAACUUCCCCCGGGUGGAGCCGCCAAGGAGACCGUGGCCCUCAGGGCUGGGACGGUGCCAUUCCUAGGGCUGAGCCCUGGCUCUCUACCAGGCACGGAGUGAGUGAGUGGACGCCCCCCCUGCCCGGGAGCUGCAUCUGUUUGUUGAGCACCCGCUGCCCACCUGACUGGUCACAUACCCGCCACGCUGGGGAUCCACCUGUGCCGCCGUUGGCUCCUGCGGUCAUCACAUGUGCUUUUUCCCAACUUGGUGCUGCGACAUCAUCUGGAGUCGGCAGGAUGCAGAAUUAGGGUCUGGGAACCACAGCCAAAGGGGAAGAUGCGGGUGAGCAGACCUGGCUCUCUGUGCCAGGAUGGACAAGGGGAACCAGCCAGAGCACUGGCCUCACCGUGGCCACCAACCGCGGUCACCGAUUCUGCACAGUACCGGAACUUGAUUGGUCCAGCAAGUAUCGGCCGUGCACCUGUUGGGCGCCAAGCUGGUCGCCAGGGCCCCGGGAGGGAACAGCCUGCCUGCGCGGCCUCCCUGCCUGGCCUUGCUCUCUCCCAUGGCCUCCCAUCACCCUGGCUGCCUUCUGGAGCUGUAGAUGCUGUGUCCUGCAGGCCUGCCGUCUUCUGGAUCUUUUCCUUCCUGUCACCUGCCCUUCAGAGCUGACCCUAUUUCCUCCGCUUCUGGGAAUCCUUCUGUCUCCUUCUGCUCAGGAGAGUCUCCUUCCUCUGGGUACCAAUAGGCUUGAGUUUCUGGACUACCACAUCCAAAACUAAGCUCCCCCCCCCCAAACCUGCUCCUCCUCUUGGGUCUCGUCUCAGUGGGGCCCCUCCAGCCAAGCAGCCCCUUGAGCCAGACCUGGCCUCCUCCCUUGCCUCCUCUCUCAGCUCAUCCCCCAUCAACAGUCCAUCCAUCACCAAGUCCUGCCGGUUCUGCCUCCUCAGCAUCUCUCAGACCUGUCCACUCCCCUCCGUCCCCACUGCCACCGAGCUGAUCCAGGCCACCCUCAUCUCAGCUCCUGGCUGGUCUCUCAGCCCCUAACCUGCCCUCUAUUCUCCCCUUGGCAGCGGGGCGUCCUUCCACUGUGCACUCGCUCCAGGUGGCAGAAGUCCCCAUGGCUCCCGGCUGCCUCGGGUGCAGGGGAAGUCAGCUGUCAGUCUAACCGGGGUUCCCCUGAAAGUGAAUCUGGGAUAUUCUCCCUCCUUUGGUUUCUGCAGAUGGAUUGAGGCAUGGAUUCUUUGUAUUUAUUUUUCUGGGGACGCUGGGUAUCCUGAAUCUAUGAUUUGGUAUCUUUUAUCAGUUCUGGAAAAUUAUCAGCCACCAUCUCUUAAACAUGGUGUCUACCUGUUUUUCUCUCUUCUAGGGCUCUAAUUAAACUUGCUCUUUUCUACCCUCUCCUUUUCCCCAUCUUUGUGUCUCUCUGCAAUGCAUUCUGGAUAUUUUCUUUUGACUUAUUUUCUUUUGACCUAAUUCUUUCUUUGGCUGUAUUUACUCCAUUCUUAGACUCAUCCAUCGAGUGUUUUUAACGCUUUAUUAUUUUGGAAUGUAACACACAUGCAUGAAAUGCAUAAAUUGUAAAUAUACAGCUUUGCAGAAGAGUGAAAAACAAAUGUACAGUUUAAUAAAUGAUUAGAAACCAAACAUGUAUGGGACUAUUACUGACAGGUCAAGAAGUAAAGUCUCUGAGUUUUUUCUUUUAAAGAUUGACACCUGAGCUAACAUC
rnacentral:lncRNA from 1 species